UACGGAGGGGACUAGCGUUGUUCGGAAUUACUGGGCGUAAAGCGCACGUAGGCGGAUUUGUAAGUCAGGGGUGAAAUCCCGGGGCUCAACCUCGGAACUGCCUUUGAUACUGCAAAUCUCGAGUCCGGAAGAGGUGAGUGGAAUUCCUAGUGUAGAGGUGAAAUUCGUAGAUAUUAGGAAGAACACCAGUGGCGAAGGCGGCUCACUGGUCCGGUACUGACGCUGAGGUGCGAAAAGCGUGGGGGAGCAAACAGG
rnacentral:rRNA from 1 species